CCACACCCGGACCCUGCAGCUCCCCUGGGGUUCGACCCCAACAGCUACCCGGGGAUUGGCGCGCCGCAGGCGCCAGGGAGCCGCCCCGCCUCCUGUCAGCUGGAGCCCCGCCUCCUGUCAGGAGAAGCCCCGCCUCCCCGGGUCCCCUAACUGCCCAGCCCCUUGCCCAGCGAUAGCUCCGCCCGCUGUCGGCAGAAGCCUCGUCGUCUCUCCGGCCAGUCCAGAAGGCUGUCGCCGCCGGAACCGGAGAGAUUAUAAAAAUGUUUAUCUAAAAACAUUACUUCUGAUAUUUAAAUGAAGAACUGUGGUAGAGUCAAAAGAUGUUCAAGGGUCCUCCCGUAAUCAUGACUGGAAUUCUGGCUUUAAGUGGACAAGCAAUGAUGUUAAAAGCAGAUGGGAGAAGGACAUGAAAGAAAACAAAAAAGACAAAAAGAAUGGCAAGGACACAGGGUUAGGAUUUCAUCUUGCAUCAGUUAUGUGGACAUGUAAAGUGAAUUAAAUAGGAACUGAACAUAAACAAUAUCGGAUACCAUAACAUCAUGAUCUGGAAGAACUGAAGUUUUCUAUCUCUUGCUCCAUUUUCUAGAUAAAGGAUAAGAAAGAAAAAAGUAAUAUUAACAUCCAUUACAUA